rnacentral:rRNA from 1 species
UACGUAGGUGGCAAGCGUUGUCCGGAUUUACUGGGCGUAAAGAGCGCGCAGGCGGUUGAUUAAGUCGAAUGUGAAAGCCCCCGGCUCAACUGGGGAGGGUCACGCGAUACUGUUCGACUCGAAGGCAGGAGAGGGUAGUGGAAUUCCCGGUGUAGUGGUGAAAUGCGUAGAUAUCGGGAGGAACACCAGUGGCGAAGGCGACUACCUGGCCUGUUCUUGACGCUGAGGCGCGAAAGCUAGGGUAGCAAACGGG